GACGAACGCUGGCGGCGCGCUUAACACAUGCAAGUCGAACGUGAAACUCGGAGCUUGCUCCGGGUGGAAAGUGGCGAACGGGUGAGUAACACGUGAGGAACCUGCCCCGAAGACCGGGAUAACUCCGGGAAACCGGUGCUAAUACCGGAUGUCCUCGCCGGACCGCAUGAUCCGGCGAGGAAAUGGAUUCCGCUUCGGGAUGGCCUCGCGGCCUAUCAGCUUGUUGGUGGGGUAACGGCACACCAAGGCUUCGACGGGUAGCUGGUCUGAGAGGAUGUCCGGCAACACUGGGACUGAGACACGGCCCAGACUCCUACGGGAGGCAGCAGUGGGGAAUCUUGCGCAAUGGGCGAAAGCCUGACGCAGCGACGCCGCGUGCGAGAUGAGGGCCUUCGGGUUGUAAACCGCUUUCAGCAAGGACGAAAUUGACGGUACCUGCAGAAGAAGCCCCGGCCAACUACGUGCCAGCCGCCGCCGUAAAAC
rnacentral:rRNA from 1 species